CCUUGGGCUGCUGCGGGAAGUAGCCGCCUGUGAACGCCUUGGCCAGGGAGGCCCCCGGCAGCAGCCCCGGCUGCGGCUCCACCUCUUGGCUCCCCGCGGCAGCAGGGACGUACUCGUCCUGGCCGUCCGCGCGUCCGGCGAUGAGCAGGCACAACACGACCACGGCGGCGACGACCGCCGGUACUAGCUGAUCGGCGUGCAUGAUCGGUUAACGUGGAAGUGGGUGGUUUAG
rnacentral:lncRNA from 1 species